AGAGUUUGAUCAUGGCUCAGGACGAACGCUGGCGGCGUGCUUAACACAUGCAAGUCGAACGGAGCGAAAUGGAAGCUUGCUUCUAUGGAGCUUAGUGGCGAACGGGUGAGUAACGCGUAAUCAACCUGCCCUUCAGAGGGGGACAACAGUUGGAAACGACUGCUAAUACCGCAUACGAUUCAACUUCGGCAUCGAGGAUGAAUGAAAGGUGGCCUCUAUUUAUAAGCUAUCGCUGAAGGAGGGGAUUGCGUCUGAUUAGCUAGUUGGAGGGGUAACGGCCCACCAAGGCGAUGAUCAGUAGCCGGUCUGAGAGGAUGAACGGCCACAUUGGGACUGAGACACGGCCCAGACUCCUACGGGAGGCAGCAGUGGGGAAUCUUCCGCAAUGGACGAAAGUCUGACGGAGCAACGCCGCGUGAGUGAUGACGGCCUUCGGGUUGUAAAGCUCUGUUAAUCGGGACGAAAGGUUCUCUUGUGAAUAAUUAGAGGAAUUGACGGUACCGGAAUAGAAAGCCACGGCUAACUACGUGCCAGCAGCCGCGGUAAUACGUAGGUGGCAAGCGUUGUCCGGAAUUAUUGGGCGUAAAGCGCGCGCAGGCGGAUUAGUCAGUCUGUCUUAAAAGUUCGGGGCUUAACCCCGUGAUGGGAUGGAAACUGCUAAUCUAGAGUAUCGGAGAGGAAAGUGGAAUUCCUAGUGUAGCGGUGAAAUGCGUAGAUAUUAGGAAGAACACCAGUGGCGAAGGCGACUUUCUGGACGAAAACUGACGCUGAGGCGCGAAAGCCAGGGGAGCGAACGGGAUUAGAUACCCUGGUAGUCC
rnacentral:rRNA from 1 species